UACAGAGGGGGCAAGCGUUGUUCGGAAUUACUGGGCGUAAAGGGCGCGUAGGCGGCCUGUUAAGUCGAACGUGAAAUCCCCGGGCUCAACCCGGGAACUGCGUCCGAUACUGGCAGGCUUGAAUCCGGGAGAGGGAUGCGGAAUUCCAGGUGUAGCGGUGAAAUGCGUAGAUAUCUGGAGGAACACCGGUGGCGAAGGCGGCCUGCUGGGCAGUUUAGCUGACACUGAGGCGCGACAGCGUGGGGAGCAAACAGG
rnacentral:rRNA from 1 species